UACGAAGGGGGCUAGCGUUGCUCGGAAUCACUGGGCGUAAAGCGCACGUAGGCGGAUUGCUAAGUUAGGGGUGAAAUCCUGGAGCUCAACUCCAGAACUGCCUUUGAUACUGGCGAUCUCGAGUCCGGGAGAGGUGAGUGGAACUGCGAGUGUAGAGGUGAAAUUCGUAGAUAUUCGCAAGAACACCAGUGGCGAAGGCGGCUCACUGGCCCGGUACUGACGCUGAGGUGCGAAAGCGUGGGGAGCAAACAGG
rnacentral:rRNA from 1 species